rnacentral:rRNA from 1 species
AGAGUUUGAUCAUGGCUCAGAUUGAACGCUGGCGGCAUGCUUUACACAUGCAAGUCGAACGGCAGCACGGGCUUCGGCCUGGUGGCGAGUGGCGAACGGGUGAGUAAUGCGUCGGAACGUGCCGAGUAAUGGGGGAUAACGCUUCGAAAGGAGUGCUAAUACCGCAUACGCUCUGAGGAGGAAAGCGGGGGACCUUCGGGCCUCGCGUUAUUCGAGCGGCCGACGUCUGAUUAGCUAGUUGGUGAGGUAAAGGCUCACCAAGGCGACGAUCAGUAGCGGGUCUGAGAGGAUGAUCCGCCACACUGGGACUGAGACACGGCCCAGACUCCUACGGGAGGCAGCAGUGGGGAAUUUUGGACAAUGGGGGGAACCCUGAUCCAGCCAUGCCGCGUGUCUGAAGAAGGCCUUCGGGUUGUAAAGGACUUUUGUCUGGGAGGAAAUCCCUAGCGUUAAUAGCGUUGGGGGAUGACAGUACCGGAAGAAUAAGCACCGGCUAACUACGUGCCAGCAGCCGCGGUAAUACGUAGGGUGCAAGCGUUAAUCGGAAUUACUGGGCGUAAAGGGUGCGCAGGCGGUGACACAAGCCAGAUGUGAAAUCCCCGAGCUUAACUUGGGAACGGCGUUCGGAACUGUGUCGCUAGAGUAUGUCAGAGGGGGGUAGAAUUCCUGGUGUAGCAGUGAAAUGCGUAGAUAUCAGGAGGAAUACCGAUGGCGAAGGCAGCCCCCUGGGAUAAUACUGACGCUCAUGCACGAAAGCGUGGGGAGCAAACAGGA